rnacentral:rRNA from 1 species
AUUGAACGCUGGCGGCAUGCCUUACACAUGCAAGUCGAACGGCAGCACGGGUGCUUGCACCUGGUGGCGAGUGGCGAACGGGUGAGUAAUACAUCGGAACAUGUCCUGUAGUGGGGGAUAGCCCGGCGAAAGCCGGAUUAAUACCGCAUACGAUCCACGGAUGAAAGCGGGGGACCUUCGGGCCUCGCGCUAUAGGGUUGGCCGAUGGCUGAUUAGCUAGUUGGUGGGGUAAAGGCCUACCAAGGCGACGAUCAGUAGCUGGUCUGAGAGGACGACCAGCCACACUAGGACUGAGACACGGCCCAGACUCCUACGGGAGGCAGCAGUGGGGAAUUUUGGACAAUGGGCGAAAGCCUGAUCCAGCAAUGCCGCGUGUGUGAAGAAGGCCUUCGGGUUGUAAAGCACUUUUGUCCGGAAAGAAAUCCUUGACUCUAAUACAGUCGGGGGAUGACGGUACCGGAAGAAUAAGCACCGGCUAACUACGUG